UACGAAGGGGGCUAGCGUUGCUCGGAAUCACUGGGCGUAAAGGGUGCGUAGGCGGGUUUUUAAGUCAGAGGUGAAAUCCUGGAGCUCAACUCCAGAACUGCCUUCGAUACUGGCGAUCUCGAGUCCGGAAGAGGUGAGUGGAACUCCUAGUGUAGAGGUGGAAUUCGUAGAUAUUAGGAAGAACACCAGUGGCGAAGGCGGACUCACUGGUCCGGUACUGACGCUGAGGUGCGAAAGCGUGGGGAGCAAACAGGG
rnacentral:rRNA from 1 species